UAUUAGAUCUAUGUAUGCGUUCAUGAAAUGGGAGAUCCGAAGAAAACAAAACUUAGACUCUGAAUGUAAAACUUCCAAGAAAAGUGGAGAUAUGUGGUUGGAUGUCACGACGGACUGGCAGCAAGAGUUAUCAGAAAAGUUAUCAAUUCAUUAAUUCUUUUGUGUUUUUGUUGAUGUGGCCGACAGCAUGAGUGUCAGAAAUUAAGGAAAUUAAAAUGGCCCGCCCGCCCGAUU